AGUGAACGCUGGCGGUAGGCCUAACACAUGCAAGUCGAACGGCAGCACAGUAAGAGCUUGCUCUUACGGGUGGCGAGUGGCGGACGGGUGAGGAAUACAUCGGAAUCUACUUUUUCGUGGGGGAUAACGUAGGGAAACUUACGCUAAUACCGCAUACGACCUACGGGUGAAAGCAGGGGAUCUUCGGACCUUGUGCGAUUUAAUGAGCCGAUGUCGGAUUAGCUAGUUGGCGGGGUAAUGGCCCACCAAGGCGACGAUCCGUAGCUGGUCUGAGAGGAUGGUCAGCGACCCUGGAGCUGAGACACGGUCCAGACGCCUACGGUACGGAGCAGUGGGGAAUGUUGGACAAUGGGCGCAAGCCUGAUCCAGCCAUACCGCGUGGGUGAAGAAGGCCUUCGGGUUGUAAAGCCCUUUUGUUGGGAAAGAAAAGCAGCAGGUUAAUACCCCGCUGUUCUGACAGUACCCAAAGAAUAAGCACCGGCUAACUUCGUG
rnacentral:rRNA from 1 species